AUUGAACGCUGGCGGCAGGCCUAACACAUGCAAGUCGAGCGAGCGGCGGACGGGUGAGUAAUGUAUGGGGACUGCCCGAUGGAGGGGGAUAACUACUGGAAACGGUAGCUAAUACCGCAUACUAUCGGAUAACCCAUAUGGGAUUAGCUAGUAGGUGGGGUAAUGGCUCACCUAGGCGACGAUCCCUAGCUGGUCUGAGAGGAUGAUCAGCCACACUGGGACUGAGACACGGUCCAGACUCCGACGGAGGCAGCAGUGGGGAAUAUGGCACAAUGGGCGCAAGCCUGAUGCAGCCAUGCCGCGUGUAUGAAGAAGGCCGUAGGGUUGUAAAGUACUUUCAGUGGGGAGGCGUUACCCGCAGAAGAAGCACCGGCUAACUCCGUGCCAGCAGCCGCGGUAAUUC
rnacentral:rRNA from 1 species